rnacentral:lncRNA from 1 species
AUGUAAUUAUUUUUUUAAUCUCAACCAAUUUAUUAGAUAAUAGAGAAUAUAAAAAGAUGAGAAAUGAUGAUGGCACAUCACCUCUUAUAGUCCUAGCUUUAUAUAUACAUAUCACCUCCUGUCCUGAUUAAAGCACCAGUUUUGUCUCCACGUGAUAAAGCAGAAGAUGCUGUCUCCACAAGCACGUUUCUCGAAGUAGUUGUCUCAUGCACCCACCAGAAAAAGCACUUCUGAAUCUAUAAAUCGAGGGCUGGAGCAGAAGGGAGGGCACUUCUCUUCUUCUACUUCUUCUUGUAUUCUCCUCUUGAGAAAAAUCAGAGACUUAGAGGAAAUUUUCCUGUCUCAGAACUUUCUCAUCUUCUCUAUUCUAUAAAACUAUAUUGUAGAAGUUUCUUGGAUUCAAGCAAAAAUAUAUAUUUAAGUUUAAUAUGUUUAAUAUUUUAAAGCUUGUAUGUUUUAAAUUCUUGUAAUUUAUUUAAAGCAUGUUUAAAUUUUUUUAUAAACUGUUACGUAUCCUCUAAGGCAUAGAGACAAGAUCCCUGACCUUAGUUGUAUUUCUUUUCUCCCUCCAUUCAAUCAGAAUACUAUUUUUGGGAUCCAGAUCUAGUACUAUCGCUGAGCCUUUUGGUAUAUCGGCUGGAAACCCGAACAUGCGAGAUAUUGAUCUGUUCUAAGUUAGAUCUGGUCCCUAAGGCAGAUUAAGUUUUGCAUUGAUCUAGUAAAACAACACCACAUACCAAUACUGGUAUCAGAGCCAAUACUGGUAUCAUAAUGGAUUCCCGCAUGUUCGGGUUUUAUACUGGUAUCAGAGCCAGGGGGAGUAGUGUUUUAUAGUUUAGAGUUUUUGUGUAGGCUGAAGUUGUAUGUGAUUAAACUUUUGCUAGAGUGGUAAGCGGUGUUACCUUUGGGUGUCUUGGUAGUAUUUGGUCGUAAGUCCCGAUUUGGUUGAAGGACAGUAAAACCAACUCUUAGCCUAGGAUUGAUUUGCCAUUCCUGUAAAACUAGAUCAUUUAUAGGUUCUAGCAUAUAUGGAUUCCCUACUCUGUAGAGCAUCAUCUUUCUCUAGCUCUUCUUCUGGAAGAACUCUGCUGUACAUUAAUGGUUACAUAUUGUUGAAUUUAAAUAGAAAGAGGAAGAGACAUAUAAUAUUUUGUAAUCUAAUAAUUAUUUUCUAUUUAUUUUCUAUUUUUAAUAUUUUGUAAUGUAAUUAUUUUUUAAUCUCAACCAAUAUAUUAGAUAAUAGAGAAUAUAAAAAGAUGAAAAAUAAUGAUGUCAUAAAUCUUAACUACUUAAUAUUUAUAGAGUUUGAAAAAGCUAAAAGGCACUAAACAAAAGGUUGCAUAAUUAAAUAUGAGAUUAUGACAUUAAAAUUAUAUCUUAAUGACAUUCUUGAGGGAAGAUGAAGAAACCUUCCUUCCUAGAUUAAUUAAUUGAUGUAUUUAAGCCACUAAAGUUUAAUUAUUGACAUAAUAAAAUAAAUGAAUGAUUCAAGACUUAUAAUUAAUUAUUAUUAAUGUUUACAUAUUAUUAAAUUUAAAUAGAAAGAGGAAGUGACAUGUAAUCUUUUGUAAUCUAAUAAUUAUUUUUUAUUUUUGAUAUUUUGUAAUGUAAUUAUUUUUUUAAUCUCAACCAAUUUAUUAGAUAAUAGAGAAUAUAAAAAGAUGAGAAAUGAUGAUGGCACAUCACCUCUUAUAGUCCUAGCUUUAUAUAUACAUAUCACCUCCUGUCCUGAUUAAAGCACCAGUUUUGUCUCCACGUGAUAAAGCAGAAGAUGCUGUCUCCACAAGCACGUUUCUCGAAGUAGUUGUCUCAUGCACCCACCAGAAAAAGCACUUCUGAAUCUAUAAAUCGAGGGCUGGAGCAGAAGGGAGGGCACUUCUCUUCUUCUACUUCUUCUUGUAUUCUCCUCUUGAGAAAAAUCAGAGACUUAGAGGAAAUUUUCCUGUCUCAGAACUUUCUCAUCUUCUCUAUUCUAUAAAACUAUAUUGUAGAAGUUUCUUGGAUUCAAGCAAAAAUAUAUAUUUAAGUUUAAUAUGUUUAAUAUUUUAAAGCUUGUAUGUUUUAAAUUCUUGUAAUUUAUUUAAAGCAUGUUUAAAUUUUUUUAUAAACUGUUACGUAUCCUCUAAGGCAUAGAGACAAGAUCCCUGACCUUAGUUGUAUUUCUUUUCUCCCUCCAUUCAAUCAGAAUACUAUUUUUGGGAUCCAGAUCUAGUACUAUCGCUGAGCCUUUUGGUAUAUCGGCUGGAAACCCGAACAUGCGAGAUAUUGAUCUGUUCUAAGUUAGAUCUGGUCCCUAAGGCAGAUUAAGUUUUGCAUUGAUCUAGUAAAACAACACCACAUACCAAUACUGGUAUCAGAGCCAAUACUGGUAUCAUAAUGGAUUCCCGCAUGUUCGGGUUUUAUACUGGUAUCAGAGCCAGGGGGAGUAGUGUUUUAUAGUUUAGAGUUUUUGUGUAGGCUGAAGUUGUAUGUGAUUAAACUUUUGCUAGAGUGGUAAGCGGUGUUACCUUUGGGUGUCUUGGUAGUAUUUGGUCGUAAGUCCCGAUUUGGUUGAAGGACAGUAAAACCAACUCUUAGCCUAGGAUUGAUUUGCCAUUCCUGUAAAACUAGAUCAUUUAUAGGUUCUAGCAUAUAUGGAUUCCCUACUCUGUAGAGCAUCAUCUUUCUCUAGCUCUUCUUCUGGAAGAACUAGUGAUUCUAAUAAUGUUGUGAAUUUAAAAGAAUUCAUAAUUGAAGACUUUAAUAAAGCUAUUGAUAAUUGAGAAUUAUCAAAGAUUUCUAAAGACAUGAUUUACAAAACAAAAAAGCUUAAUUUUUUAAAAAUUGAUUUUGUUAUAAAAACUGAAGAACGAGACAUAACCCUUUCAAAACUAUUUGAAAUAAUUCACCUGUUCUCAGAAUACUCUUUAAAGAAACUAAAUGAAAAGAACUUUAAUUAUGUUCACAUCGGCUUAUAUACUUUUAUAUAUACAGAUAUAUAUAUAUAUAUAUAUAGAUAUGGGAAUUGGGAUGGCUAUGAGAAAUUCUAAAAAAACAAAAAUAAUAAUAAUAAUAAUAAUAAAG